AUCUGGCUGGCUCAGUUGGUAGAGCCUGAGGCUCUUGAUCUCAGGGUUGUGAGUUCGAGCCCCACGAUGGGCA
rnacentral:tRNA from 1 species